rnacentral:rRNA from 1 species
GACGAACGCUGGCGGCGUGCCUAAUACAUGCAAGUAGGACGCACAGUUUAUACCGUAGCUUGCUACACCAUAGACUGUGAGUUGCGAACGGGUGAGUAACGCGUAGGUAACCUGCCUAUUAGAGGGGGAUAACUAUUGGAAACGAUAGCUAAUACCGCAUAACAGUAUGUAACACAUGUUAGAUGCUUGAAAGAUGCAAUUGCAUCGCUAGUAGAUGGACCUGCGUUGUAUUAGCUAGUAGGUAGGGUAAUGGCCUACCUAGGCGACGAUACGUAGCCGACCUGAGAGGGUGAUCGGCCACACUGGGACUGAGACACGGCCCAGACUCCUACGGGAGGCAGCAGUAGGGAAUCUUCGGCAAUGGGGGGAACCCUGACCGAGCAACGCCGCGUGAGUGAAGAAGGUUUUCGGAUCGUAAAGCUCUGUUGUUAAGGAAGAACGAGUGUGAAAAUGGAAAGUUCAUACUGUGACGGUACUUAACCAGAAAGGGACGGCUAACUACGUGCCAGCAGCCGCGGUAAUACGUAGGUCCCGAGCGUUGUCCGGAUUUAUUGGGCGUAAAGCGAGCGCAGGCGGUUAGAAAAGUCUGAAGUGAAAGGCAGUGGCUCAACCAUUGUAGGCUUUGGAAACUGUUUAACUUGAGUGCAGAAGGGGAGAGUGGAAUUCCAUGUGUAGCGGUGAAAUGCGUAGAUAUAUGGAGGAACACCGGUGGCGAAAGCGGCUCUCUGGUCUGUAACUGACGCUGAGGCUCGAAAGCGUGGGGAGCGAACAGG